rnacentral:rRNA from 1 species
UGUGCCCAGAUGGGAUUAGCUAGUAGGUGGGGUAACGGCUCACCUAGGCGACGAUCCCUAGCUGGUCUGAGAGGAUGCCAGCCACACUGGAACUGAGACACGGUCCAGACUCCUACGGGAGGCAGCAUG